UUCAGCUGCAGGUUGGCAGAAUGAAUUGCUCCAGGGUGGGAAUAACAUACAUGCUCCCCGUUGCUUGUCUGUUUACAUAGGUUACGGAUCACGGGCUGCUUCUUCCCAAGACCAGAAUGCUGGGCAUGACAAGAAGGAGGGACCCACAGAGGAGAGUGGGCCUAAGGUAUGGGGGAGCCUGGCCACCAGACCCCAGGGUAUCAGCCUCACUGUGUACUCUAUUAUCUUCAAGAGGAGGCAAUGGGAUGAGUCUCAGAUGCUUCACAGUGCCCAGAGGGAGAGAGUGGCUCAGCACUCAAUCUUGUUUCCCAGUAGAAGGAAAAUGCAAGGGGCGGGGCUAUGGAGGACUUGGACAGCCCUGCAGCUGAUGGAAGAGACAUCCCAGAUUACAUUCAAUCAAAACACAUCCUGGACAACAGAACGCGGACAGGGGACAGGUUUGCUGACCAGAGCUGGUAAUCACCUACACUGUCUUCUUGAGUCACUGUGUUGUGGGGUACUCACCAGAGAAGACUGACUGCUUGGACAUGGGCUUAAGCCAAUACAAAGUUUUUAUCAGUCUUUAUUAGGUGUUCGGAAUCCCAGUAGCCUUUCUCAGGGUGAGCUUUUAAGCACAAAAACCCAUAUUCUUGGUUGACAUACUGCAGUUAUUAGGAGCAGUGAGCCAGAAACAGAACUAUAGAAACCAAAAACAAAUACCAAAUAUAGUACAUUUAGAGACUCUUUCAGAACUUUGGACUUUGAUAGUUCAGGUCUUUGUUUUCCUUUUUCGGGUGGUGCUUUUUCUAUGUGCUGAGUUUUCUGGCCUGAAUGUUGCUUCCAUCUUGGAGGUAGUUGUGCUAAGGUCCCCCGGGGCCUACCAAGAUUUGAAGCUCUGUUACAAUUACCCUCAUCCUCCACAGAGCAUGAAGACAGGUUUCACAAUUCUGUAGAAGUUGAACUGGCUGGGCUGCACUCCUAACUCCUGAUUACUGGGCUCAAAGCCUCCUCAGUCUCUUCCCGAAGAGCCUGAGGGCUACAAAGCUAUUUCUCUAGGAGAGUAUCAGCACCACUGAGCAAGGAAGAGGCAAGCAAUUAUUUUAAAAACUCAGGGCCAGGCUGGAGAGAUGACUCAGAGGUUAAGAGCACUGGCUGCUCUUUCAGAGUUCCUGAGUUCAAUUCCCAGCAACCAUAGGGUGACUCACAACCAUCUACAGUGGGAUCUGAUGCCCUCUUCUGAUGUUCAGGCAAAGUAUUCACACCUAAACAAGGAAACCCUCAGGGCUACAAUGUUGCUCUUUAUGAGAAACCUGAGGGAGGAUUUCAGGGAAUUUUGCACUGCCUGUCAGAGCAGAAUAACCACACAGAGGCAGUUUCUUGUGCAACUGUACAGCAUGUGGAAUGGGUAGAAAGUCACUUAACUGUCAAGGUGACAUUAGCCCAUGCACCUGCUCUGAGCUUUGAGUGUGGUACCAGAACACCACAGACAAAGCCGGAGGAACACAGACUCCUGAGUCGGCCCUGUCUUGUGUCUCCCGAGAGCUUGAGAAGUUUGGUUUCGAUGUUUCUGAAAAUGUUGCUAUGUCAGUGACCUGUGGAACCUCCCCUUGAGGCUUUUAAAGGGGGACUACACAACUCAGAAGUGUGUGGUGACUCAUCUGUCUGGACUGAAGCCCAGUACUGAGGGAUACUCACUGAGGGUUUCCUAUGCACUAGGAACUUGGUGUAAGCUGAAAUAAAUCCCUUUCUCUCCUAAGUUACUUUUGAUCACAAUAUUUUAUCACAGUAAUAGAGGAGCAAGCUAGGACAGACUGCAUCUCUGACAUGCAAAGACCUCCUUUUCCCUCAGGAUCCUUUUAUUUUUAUUCUUUUUAAAUUUAUUUAUUUUAUAUGUAUGAGUGUUUUACCUGUAUGUAUAUACAUUGUGUAUGUGUCUGGUACCCGUGGAGGCCAGAAGAGAGCAUAAGAUCUCCAGGAACUAGGAUUACAGGAUGGUUGUGAGCCACCCUGUGGUGCUAGGAAUCGAACUUGAGCCCUCUGCAAGAACAACGGUGCUGUAAACCCCUGAGUCAUCUCUCAAGCCACCUUGGAAACCUUUAAGAAUAGACGCCCUGCUUCAUAUGCUGGGACUAAAGCUUCUUACUUCAGGGCCUCUCCCACUGCUGCCUCAAUAAACGCCUUGCCUGAAGGACUA